UACGGAGGAUGCGAGCGUUAUCCGGAUUUAUUGGGUUUAAAGGGUGCGUAGGCGGAUGAGUAAGUCAGUGGUGAAAGCCUGUAGCUUAACUGUAGAAUUGCCAUUGAUACUGCUCGUCUUGAGGAUAGUUGAGGUGGGCGGAAUAUGACAUGUAGCGGUGAAAUGCUUAGAUAUGUCAUAGAACACCGAUUGCGAAGGCAGCUCACUAAGCUAUAUCUGACGCUGAGGCACGAAAGCGUGGGUAGCAAACAGG
rnacentral:rRNA from 1 species